CUCCUCUUAGGAUCACAUCUGGAGAGUUUCCAGGACUCUACCGGUCUCGGAUACAAGAGGGAGAGUCAAGCACAGGCAUACCCUUUCCAUUCCUAGCCUGGGAAGUGGCUAGCGAGUGUAAGGCAGUCUGCUACAAGU